GUGCUUGCUUCAGCAGCACAUAUACUAAAAUUGAAAUGAUACAGAGAAGAUUAGCACAGUCCCUGAGCAAGGAUGACAUGCAAACGAAAAUUUAAAAAUAAAA